UCUCUCUCCUCCGCCAAAUUUCCCUUACACGUGUCAAUCAAUCACUUUCUCUCUCUAUUACUCAAAUACAAUCACAUAAACUUCCAGUAUUUCUCUUUCUUUCUCUCUCCUGUUUUCUGCCUGACGUUUGUCGGAACAACUUGUGCUUAAUUAUUAUUCAUUUUAGGUUUCUGCAAUUUGCGACAUUUUUUUCUGGUUCUCAAUUUUUCUGCUUCCUUUUUAGUUGAAAUUGUUGAUCUGAGGUUGAAUUUGGAGUAAUGGUGGAUUUGUUUUGAGGUGAUUGUGAAGAGGAUGGGUUAAGCUUUCAUAUUCUGAAGAUGUUUGAUUGGGACGACCAAGAGCUUGCAAAUAUUAUAUGGGGUGAAGGUAGGGAAGCUGAUGAUCACAUUGUGCCUUAUCCAGAAGAUAUUGAGAAAAAAGUUUUGUCAGAUUCUGGUGAUAAUGACCAAAAAACAUUGACUGAGAAGAAUUCUAAAAGUGAGGCUGUUGAAAAAAACGCAUCUACCUCUAAGUUGUUUAUAGACGGAUGUAAAAGAGAUAAGAAUGAUGGUUUGUCUGCUUCAGGAGAAGUUGUGGAUUCUCAACUCGAUUUGCCUUCAUUCAGUGCUUCAAAAUCUGAUGACAGUGGUAUAGUUGGAGCUAAGAAAAUUCAGCUAGGUGGUGUUUCUCAAAGUUCCCAAAUUCAUCAUGAGGAUAAAGAGCUUGGUGAUCUUGUAGGCAACAGUUGGGCAAGCAUUGGAAGUUUUGAUGAUCUUGAUAGGAUAUUCAGCAACGAUGACCUAGAUGGAAGCACAAGUCUUGGAAGCACAGAUGAACUAUGGUCAUCACCUAAGGAUCUCUUAAGUGGGGCAGCUAAAUCCUCAUCUGCAGCUCUACGCUCGACACAUUGGGAAUUCGGAGCAUUAGGAAGCGCCGCUACUAACAUUGAAAUAAAUCCAGAAUAUUUGCACAAUGAAGAUUCCUCUGUAACAACUGGCUGCCGAAAGGCCGGCAGCAUCUCACCUUGCCCUCGACGUACCAUCGAUAGACAUCUGGAACAUAAAGAUUAUGCUGUGGAUACUACUGGCUUGGUUGAGGAAAAGAUAGGUUUGGGCAUCACUCUAAAGACACCAAUUGACUCUCAUACUGCCGCUGAAAAUAUUGCUUCUCCAAACAAUCCCACAGUAAAGGAAAAAUGGUCUGAAACUCAGUCAAAAUAUGAGCUGGCAACUGAUAGAUUAACUGAUUCCAGACUACUGCAGGAUGUAUAUGACAAUUGGCCAUCAUCUGCAACAAAUGCUCCACAGUUCAGUCGCCAAUGUGCUCCAAGUACAGUAGAAAAUCAUUCGGUCUCAGUCCCUGUUCAACAUCAGUUGUCCCAGGAAUUUAGGCCUUUUUCAUACCAAAAUUUCUCAACCCCAUAUGGUGCUCCUUAUGCUUGUGGGAAUUUCACCAGUAAUCCAGCCUUGCGCAUGCUGAAACAUACAGAAGAUGAAAAUCAGUCUAUUUUGUCAAGUUCUGAAGUAAGUCCUGGAGAUGUAAUUAACAAACCUGUUGGGAGUCUUGGGACUUCAACAAAACACACGAAAAUGACACCCCAAGAGAAGAUUGAAAAACUGAGGCGGCGUCAGCAAAUGCGAGCAAUGCUUGCUAUACAGAAACAACAGCAGCGGUUAGGUCACCAAGCUUCAAGUGGGGAUUACUCCCGAUCUCGUAAGAGCUGCCUAGAGGAUCCUGUCCGUCAUAUGGAAAACUCUGACCUUGAAGUCGAUGAUAUCUUAAGCAUUGUACCUUGCUAUGAUCCUGGUUCCCCAAACAAAGGGGAUGAUUCUAGUAUGAUUUCCAACAUCGACGACUAUUCAGCAGAGGACACAGUUCUCUACCAACUUCAAGAUAUUGUAUCAAGAUUGGAUAUGAAGAUAAGGCUGUGUAUAAGAGAUAGCUUAUAUCGAUUGGCUCAUAGUGCAACACGAAGACUCUAUGUUAGUUAUACUAGCAGUAAAAAGAGCAGCACUUUUGAGCCUGAUAUUGCAAAGGAAGAGACAAGCAAUCAUGACAGAUUUGUUGGAAAUGCAAAUGUGGAGACUGAGACCAACCAUAUUGACCGAGCUGUGGCUCAUUUGCUCUUUCAUCGGCCUCUCAAGCUGUCAAGCAGGUAUGCUGAGACACCAGAGUCAUCCACAUCAACAAAAGUCUCAACUGAACCAGAACCACCUGCUCCAAGCAGCAAGCCAAUUGGUUUGUUGCCCAAGAACUCCGAAAAUGAAUAUAUUCUCUAUCCACGUGGAUCAAAAAGUCUUCAUGAUUUUGUGGAUUCCAAUGAGGGAGAUGUAUCAAAUGACGUUUCCCUAAAUGAGAUGAGCAUAAAUCCACCAAUAGAACAAACAACAGCAGAGCAUGCAGACUGAACUUUGUUGGCUAUUGUUGAGAUUUUAAUCAGGAUGAUAAGGCCAACUUGGUCAUUGCAAGGCGCAUGUCAUGGAGGUUAUAAAUUCCUUGCUGCUGACAGAGCCAUCUGUCUAAGUAACUUAAGCCAGUAUAUCUACCUAGUCAUCUCUAUCUUUCAAAACAUCAUUAUUGCCGAUGAUUGCUUGUGGGCAUUGCUAUGUUUCAAAUGAAGCUACCUGACUUCAUGGUGGAUUUUUCAGUAUGAUCUUUAUCACCAUUUAGGUUUAUCAUGGUACUCAGUAUGAGUGCUGUGAGGUACAGCCUUUCAUGAGUUCCAUCACAGAAGACUGACAGGUAUGCAAGUACUUGCAAAUGUCAGUUCUUAUAUCAUGCAAGAUUGUUGUACCUACUUCUUAUCCCACCAUAAAACUGAAGUUUCGUAAUAAGUGUGCUGGUUGGAAAAAAUUUCUUCUAUGCUACUUUAGACCUGUAAUACCAAACAGUAACUAAUGUCACCUUUGGCAUUUCAAUCAAACGGAAGCCUCCUUCCUCCCCUCCUCCCCAAAAAAGAGGUGCUGUUACGUAGCCCUUGAGAACUGCUAACAUGUUUCCUAGUAUACCCUUUUUCUUAUUCUCUUCACCCAUACCUUUCAUAAAAAUUGACUGGCAGCAAUUGUAAGGGAAUUAUGUUGGCUGGCGAAUUCAGAUUAAAAUAUAUAUUAUCAAAAAUUUUGUUAAGAUGUCUCUUGAAUUUUGCUCAAAUCCAAAAGGCAAGUUUAACCAUAAACCAUUGUGCGAAGGAUGGAUUGUUGGGCAUAGUUGAUUACUUGAUUUAGGUGUCCUUAAGCUUUCAGUGAGGUGUCUUUGUUUUAAACUUGAGGUUUUCUCUUCUGCAUAUGGUGUCUGCUGGUCAAAGUUUGUGCUUCAUUUUAAAGCCUAAUCUGUGACAAUUAUUCUCAACCUUGGAGUAUAAUGGCAAUCGACUUGGAGUUUUGUAGAUGUUAGAGAUAGACAGGUUGGGGGACUGUCAUGAGGACCUUUAGGGGUGUGUUUUAUGUUUACUGUUUAGGGUGGAGACUUACUUGGAAAAAUCAUGUCCGAACACUGUCCCUGGGAAAGACCAACAGAUAGAUUAUACAUUUAUACUGAUCGAAAUAAUAAUUUAUUGAGUUUAUAAGUUUGGAU